rnacentral:rRNA from 1 species
AGCCUCACAGCUGGGGAUAACAUCGAGAAAUCGAUGCUAAUACCGAAUGUGCUGAACAUCAAUAAGAUGUUCAAGUGAAAGACGGUUUCGGCUGUCACUGUGAGAUGGACCCGCGCUGGAUUAGCUAGUUGGUAAGGUAAUGGCUUACCAAGGCGACGAUCCAUAGCCGACCUGAGAGGGUGAUCGGCCACAUUGGGACUGAGACACGGCCCAAACUCCUACGGGAGGCAGCAGUAGGGAAUCUUCGGCAAUGGACGAAAGUCUGACCGAGCAACGCCGCGUGAGCGAAGAAGGCCUUCGGGUCGUAAAGCUCUGUUGUUAGAGAAGAACAUGGGUGAGAGUAACUGUUCACCCCUUGACGGUAUCUAACCAGAAAGCCACGGCUAACUACGUG